rnacentral:rRNA from 2 species
ACGGGGUGCAGCAGGCGCGAAACCUUUGCAAUGUGCGCAAGCGCGACAAGGUUAAUCCGAGUGUUUCCUGCUAAAGGAAUCUUUUGUUAGUCGUAAAACCACUGAUGAAUAAGGGGUGGGCAAGUUCUGGUGUCAGCCGCCGCGGUAAAACCAGCACCUCAAGUGGUCAGGAGGAUUAUUGGGCCUAAAGCAUCCGUAGCCGGCUCUGCAAGUUUUCGGUUAAAUCCAUUUGCUUAACAAAUGGGCUGCCGAAAAUACUACAUAGCUAGGGAGUGGGAGAGGUAGACGGUAUUCGGUAGGAAGGGGUAAAAUCCUUUGAUCUAUUGAGGACCACCUAUGGCGAAGGCAGUCUACCAGAACACGUUCGACGGUGAGGGAUGAAAGCUGGGGGAGCAAACCGGAUUAGAUACCCGGGUAGUCCCAGCUGUAAACGAUGCAGACUCGGUGAUGCACUGGCUUGUGGCCAGUGCAGUGCCGCAGGGAAGCCGUUAAGUUUGCCGCCUGGGAAGUACGUACGCAAGUAUGAAACUUAAAGGAAUUGGCGGGGGAGCAC